rnacentral:rRNA from 1 species
AGCGAACGCUGGCGGCAGGCCUAACACAUGCAAGUUGAACGAACCUUUCGGGGUUAGUGGCGGCCGGGUUAGUAACCCGUCGGAACGUGCAUUUAUGGUCGGCAUAACUCUGGGAAACGUGUGCUAAUACCGAAUGUGCCCUUCGGCGGAAAGAUUUAUCGCCUCUAGAGCGUCCGGCGUCUGAUUCGCUAGUUGUUUGAGGUAAUGGCUCACCAAGGCCACGUUCAGUAGAUGGUCUGGGAGGAUGAUCCGCCACAAUGGAGGUGAGACACAGCCGAAACUCCUACGGGAGGCAGCAGUGGGGAAUCGUGCGCAAUGGGCGAAAGCCUGACGCAGCCAGGCCGGGUGAAUGAUGAAGGUCGUAGGAUUGUAAAAUUCUUUCACCGGGGACGAUAAUGACGGUACCCGGAGAAGAAGCCCCGGCUAACUUCGUG